rnacentral:misc_RNA from 1 species
GUGCUAUUCUGUAAGAUCAAGCUAUAAGGUGGCUUGCAAAAUAAAACGAAGGGAUAGCAUUGGGAAUCUUGGAGAUCCCGUCUUUGCAAGCUAGGAAUGUUGAGUUCUGGAAACAGUUCUGGAAGUUAAAGCUGCCAAGCAAAAUUUUGGUGUUUUUAUGGAGUUUAUUUAAAGAGAAGCUUCCAUCCAAUGAUAAUCUCCAUAAACGACUAUCACACAUUGAUCCGGAGUGUAAAGCUUGUGGGAAUAGGGAGACCUUACAACAUAUUUUUUUCUCAAUGUCAAAAAGCACGGACUAUUUGGAUUCAUUCUCCAUUACGACUCAGAUCAGCUAUGUUUGCCCAUCUACCUUCGAUUGAUUGUUGGAAUGAACUUUGCUCUUGGAUAUUACAAGAUCCGAAUGGGCAGGAGUUCAUACAACAAUCAACAUUCAUUCUAUAGCACAUCUGGAAGAGUCGGAAUGCUCUAAUCUUUAGACAGGAAGAUCAGAAUUUUGCUGAUGUAAUCUUGCUAGCAGGUCGACAUCGGGAAGAAUUUCGAAGAGCUAAUGAACAGGAUAGAGCUUCCCCACAGAAGAAAAUACCACAAGUCCUAUCUUGGCAACCACCGCCUCCUUUAGUACUCAAAUUGAAUUUCGAUGCAGCUGUAGAUUAUAUCACUCGGAAGGGAGCAACAGCGUUUGUAAUUCGCAAUGAGAGGGGCCAUUUGUUAGACCGGAGAGCAAAGAUAUGGCCAACUAUUUCUGACCUGCUAAUCUUGGAAAGCAUGGCCUGCAGAGAGGCUGUCCUUUUUGUAAAGGAGAAAGGCUUAUCCAAGGUGAUUAUCGAGGGUGACUUUUCUAUUGUCUUUGCUGCACUUCAG